rnacentral:rRNA from 1 species
CCUACGGGAGGCAGCAGUGGGGAAUUUUGGACAAUGGGCGCAAGCCUGAUCCAGCAAUGCCGCGUGAGUGAAGAAGGCCUUCGGGUUGUAAAGCUCUUUUGUCAGGGAAGAAACGGUCUACUCUAAUACAGUGGGCUAAUGACGGUACCUGAAGAAUAAGCACCGGCUAACUACGUGCCAGCAGCCGCGGUAAUACGUAGGGUGCAAGCGUUAAUCGGAAUUACUGGGCGUAAAGCGUGCGCAGGCGGUUAUAUAAGUCAGAUGUGAAAUCCCCGGGCUCAACCUGGGAACUGCAUUUGAGACUGUAUGGCUAGAGUGUGUCAGAGGGGGGUAGAAUUCCACGUGUAGCAGUGAAAUGCGUAGAUAUGUGGAGGAAUACCGAUGGCGAAGGCAGCCCCCUGGGAUAACACUGACGCUCAUGCACGAAAGCGUGGGGAGCAAACAGGAUUAGAUACCCUGGUAGUCCACGCCCUAAACGAUGUCUACUAGUUGUCGGGACUUAAUUGUCUUGGUAACGCAGCUACGCGUGAGUAGACCGCCGUCGGGAGGUACGGUCGCGAGAAGUUAAAACGUUAAAAGUAAAGUUAGUACGGCGUGAGACGGACCGACGGACGACGACGAGGGAGGAGG